CUACGGUCAUGUUGAUUUUUUAUCAUAAUCUUGAAGGAAGUCAUGGAGAAGAAGAAAAGUGCAACAUGGAAAAGUAAGGGAACCAGACGAUCAUUGGACAUUGAAAGUCAAAUUAACUUGGAAACUCAAGCUUAAUGUUGGAUACCUCUUUCAAGACCAAUAUUGAUCGUUUGAAUCUCAUGCUUCUUCUUUCUUCAUCUCCUUUUCCAGAUAUAAUAACACCAUGGAUUUCAUUUUCUUCAUUCGUUGCUGAUCGACCAAAUAAUCUUUCUCUUUCUCAUACUUCUUUUUGUUGAAUGAUUUCCAGAUUUCCAGACUUGCUGUAACGUUACAAAAACCAAGUCAACUAAUCAGAAAAACCUAAGGAAAUAACAAUGAAAGAUAAAGAAAUCUCGACCAAGUGGCUUCAAGAAUUCAAGUAGCGCUGCAAUGACAAUGACUUUUGAAAGAGCAAAAGAGUAUGGUAAAGAAACAUUUGAUCAUUACUGAUUGUUUUGGAGUUUCAAUUUUUGGUGUUGAUAGCUACAACUAUGUAUAACCUUUAGAUACGUUUGUUUCUUGGUGACUUUAGUGUAUGACGUUAGCUCAGCGAUCUUAUAUACUUCAUCAAACUUAUGAAAAGACAUCACACAAUCAUAUUCACAAGGAUUUAUCAGAUGUAUACAUGACAAUCAUAAGGAAUAUAAAGUAUUACCAAAAUGAUCGUCUUAUAUUCUUGCCUCAUUCACGUUUAUGCUUGAAAGGAAAAAAGAAAGAUUGAGCAAAGUUUGGAUGCAAAAUACAUUGCAGGAUAUAACACAAAGCUAAGUUGGAUAUAAACAUUGGAAGAAUAAUAAGGAAGAAAAGGAAGAGGAAAAUAUGAGUUAUACGUUCGCCUUUUUCGGUUUCAUAACAAGAGCCUGGAAAAAAAGAUGAAGAGACAGUUAUGACAAUUGUCAAAUCUCAAAAUGGGACUCUUCAGGAACAAAAAAUUUGAGGAAUGAUUUUCACUCCUUUUUCUUCAUCAUUUUCAUCAUUAUUAUCAGUGUAUUUUUUUCAUCUUCAACUCAAGUUUGUUCCUCUGUUUUCUCCUUUUCUCUCACUAUUUCUUAAACUUUGCCUUCACUGACAGUGGUAGUGUACAGUUGACUGGAGUUUAAAAAUUCGAUGAGAUUGAAAGAAUGAGACCCAGAAAAGGUGGAGAAUAAACUUGAACAUGGAAGAAGAAAAGAGGAAAAGAAGAAAGAUAAAAGAGUGAAAAGUUACUUAAAAUGAAAUUUGGCAACACGGAAAAACAGUCAAAAGAAAUAGACUCGAAUAUUUCCUCUUUCAGGCGAUUCUCAUGGAUGUUUUUCAAAGGCUCAACCCAAUCUAUCUGUUAAUAUCAACUUUUUUUCAUCUGAGACUUUCUUCUUUCUCUCUCUUUCAGUAAACUACAUUGGUAACAAUUUUCUUCUCAUGUUUACCAUGAAACCUGACUUCACGAAAGAAUUCAGCUCAAGUUUUGAGUGAGCAUAAUACACAAACACACAAACACAUACACUCAAUCAGAAUCCGUAAACAUAUUUCCAGGAGCAAUAAAAGAGUUGAUUCCAAUAUGAAUCAUUUUCUUUUUUCAUACGCCUCAAGAGUUGCAAAUAUGGUUCUAUUUUAGCAUGGGAUGUUGGUUUUAUACUCAAACAAUUCACAACCAAAUGUAUCAUCAUAAUCAACAUUAUGAUAACUUUCGAGGUAGAGAAGUGUAACAAAUUUUUCACAAAUUCCAGAUACAGAUAACCAUUAAAUUUGUAUUCAAUUACUUUUGCUUGAAAAAUUAUCAAAUGACGAGGUUUCAAUUGUGAAAGUUUUGAUGACAUGAUAUGACCAAGAAUAGGAUGUUUCAAAGAUGUGACAAAAGACGAGAUGAAACAUGAAAGUGAACAAUCAAAGUAACCAUAGAAGUAUACUAUUGUCAUGAUGAUGAGAGCAUAAAAUGCCAUUUUGGCAAUAUUGGUUUCCAGUUGAGCUCAUCUCAAAUAUCAAUUUGACGUAUUCGAAGGCGAGAGAAAAUAUCAGUCAACUUCUUAUCAGUAAACAAAGAUUUCAAUCAUUAAUUAUUGAUCCAGACCAGAAGGAAUGAUUGAAUAAAGUUGACAAAAAGUGAUAAAAGUGAAAGGAAACGUGCAAAGGCAAACAUGGCUCACAGGCAUUUGAAUUAUUAUCGUUUAAUAUCAAGUAAAAACGGAAAUGAAAUGUUUUCAGAUGCAAGGGGAAAAAGUGCAAUAAUAAACUGAGUUUGCCUGACAGAGCUGUUUACUUGAGUAUAAUUUUGACACGGUAUACAGUGAAUAAUAUGAAAUAUAUGAGAAAAAAUGUAUGAUUUUGUAAUAGGAUUGGAAUCACCUUGAGGCCAAAUCAACAUCUAAAUACUUUCAAAUUGACCCAAUUUCCUGUCUAAUGGAAUAAUCAGAAUAAUCAAUAUUGAAAUUGUUUAAAGUUUGACUUGGAAUAAAAUUUAGAAGCAAUUUCUCUCGUUUUUUCCCAUGCUUCACCAUGAAAACAACAUUUCCAUUUUUAUUAGAUUAUCAAUCGAUUAUAACAUUAUAUGACCCAAUCAAUUGACGAUGCUUCAUUUUGGUUUACAAUUAGAUAAAUCAUUAUCCAUGUUGGAGAGCAAUUUGUUAAAAAAUAACAUCGAGUACAGGAAAACACCAUAAAACAUUGGAUAACAGCAUGAUCAUCAUGAAGAUCAUCAUCAUAAUCAUCAUCAAAUGAUUUAGGAACCAUUGUGGUAAUCAUACUCAACUUCAAUGAUAAUUUUCAUUCUUUCUGUCAACCCAAAUCAACAAAUUUGAUCAUAAUAGACAUUGGCCAAGACCAGAUGAAGGAUCAAAACACAUACACACUCACAGUCACACAUAAAAAAGAUGAGGCUCCAAGCUUUUAAUGGUCCACACUAUGCAAAGACCAUUAGCGAAUUGUUACAAUCAAUGACACCUUAUAUUGGAUAAUAAAACAACCAACACCAAGUCCAUCCUUAAUCUUUUCUUAACUGUUAUACCAUUUCUGUUCACAAGGUUAACAACCAUCCCAAAUGGCUUUCUCCAUCUUCAUCCUCUUGUUUAUCAUCUUGUCAGUUUCUGGAAGAAGGAAGAUGAUUACUCUGAUGGCGAGAAGAGACUCAGCGAUUGCAAAAAAAGUAAAAGAAAUGAGAAGAGGACAGAAAAAUUAUAACCAAACAAAUUAAGAUGAAAUUGUUACCCUUAAAUUGAAUACUUUCAAGUAGGGCUAAAUGUUUGCAACCAAUGUUACAAAAAUAGUUUGGAUAACACUUUUUUUGAUAUAUAAAGUAUCAUUAUCAUCACCAUUCCUCUGGAAAUGGAGAGAGAGAGAGAGAGAAAGAAAAAAAAUAAGAUUGAAUUGACCUUUAAAGGAAUUGGACAUGAAGCAAGUGGACAUUAAAAGAAGCAAAACU